UACGUAGGGUGCGAGCGUUAUCCGGAUUCACUGGGUUUAAAGGGAGCGCAGGCGGAUUGGUAAGUCAGUGGUGAAAGCCUUAAGCUUAACUUGGGAACUGCCAUUGAUACUAUCAGUCUUGAAUAUUGUUGAGGUUUGCGGAAUGGGUCAUGUAGCGGUGGAAUGCAUAGAUAUGACCCGGAACACCUAUUGCGAAGGCAGCAGGCUAAACAAAGAUUGACGCUGAGGCUCGAAAGCGUGGGUAGCAAACAGG
rnacentral:rRNA from 1 species